CAGCAGCCACGGGAAUACGGGGGGGGCAAGUGUUAUUCGGAAUGACUGGGCGUAAAGGGCACGUAGGCGGUGAAAAGGGUGGAAAGUGAAAGUCGCCAAAACACUGGCGGGGUGCUUUCUUGACCAUUUCACUUGAGUGAGAUAGGGGAGAGUGGAAUUUCGUGUGGAGGGAUCAAAUCCUAAGAUAUACGAAGGAACGCCAACCGCGAAGGCAGCUCUCUGGGUCCCCACUGACGCUGGGGUGCGAAAGCAUGGGGAGCAAACAGGAUCAGAUACCCGCGUAGUCCCUGUCUCUUAUACC
rnacentral:rRNA from 1 species